rnacentral:rRNA from 1 species
AUUGAACGCUGGCGGCAUGCCUAACACAUGCAAGUCGAACGGGGGUAGCGAUACCCUAGUGGCGGACGGGUGAGGAACGCGUAGGAAUUGGCCCACGAGUGGGGGACAACCUGGGGAAACCCAGGCUAAUACCGCAUACGCUCGCGAGAGGAAAGCGGGGGAUCUACGGACCUCGCGCUGGUGGACAAGCCUACGUCCGAUUAGCUAGUUGGCAGGGUAAAAGCCUACCAAGGCGACGAUCGGUAGCUGGUCUGAGAGGAUGAUCAGCCACACUGGGACUGAGACACGGCCCAGACUCCUACGGGAGGCAGCAGUGGGGAAUAUUGGACAAUGGGCGCAAGCCUGAUCCAGCAAUGCCGCUGGGGUGAAGACGGCCUGCGGGUUGUAAAGCCCUUUAAAGCGGGGAGGAACGCCGGAACGCGAAUACCGUUUCGGACUGACGUUACCGCAGAAUAAGCACCGGCUAACUCCGUGCCAGCAGCCGCGGU